AUUGAACGCUGGCGGCAUGCUUUACACAUGCAAGUCGAACGGUAACAGGCCUUCGGGUGCUGACGAGUGGCGAACGGGUGAGUAAUGCAUCGGAACGUGCCCAAUCGUGGGGGAUAACGUAGCGAAAGUUACGCUAAUACCGCAUAAGCCCUGAGGGGGAAAGCAGGGGAUCGCAAGACCUUGCGCGUAUGGAGCGGCCGAUGUCAGAUUAGCUAGUUGGUGGGGUAAAGGCCUACCAAGGCGACGAUCUGUAGCGGGUCUGAGAGGAUGGCCAGCCACACUGGAACUGAGACACGGUCCAGACUCCUACGGGAGGCAGCAGUGGGGAAUAUUGGACAAUGGGGGCAACCCUGAUCCAGCCAUGCCGCGUGUGUGAAGAAGGCCUCGGUGUAAG
rnacentral:rRNA from 1 species